rnacentral:tRNA from 1 species
AUUUAUAUAGUUUAAAUAAAACCUUACAUUUUCAAUGUAAAAAUAAAAUAUUUUUUAUAAAUA